GACGAACGCUGGCGGCGUGCCUAAUACAUGCAAGUUGAGCGCUGAAGGUUGGUACUUGUACCAACUGGAUGAGCAGCGAACGGGUGAGUAACGCGUGGGGAAUCUGCCUUUGAGCGGGGGACAACAUUUGGAAACGAAUGCUAAUACCGCAUAAAAGCUUUAAACACAAGUUUUAAGUUUGAAAGAUGCAAUUGCAUCACUCAAAGAUGAUCCCGCGUUGUAUUAGCUAGUUGGUGAGGUAAAGGCUCACCAAGGCGAUGAUACAUAGCCGACCUGAGAGGGUGAUCGGCCGCAUUGGGACUGAGACACGGCCCAAACUCCUACGGGAGGCAGCAGUAGGGAAUCUUCGGCAAUGGACGAAAGUCUGACCGAGCAACGCCGCGUGAGUGAAGAAGGUUUUCGGAUCGUAAAACUCUGUUGGUAGAGAAGAACGUUGGUGAGAGUGGAAAGCUCAUCAAGUGACGGUAACUACCCAGAAAGGGACGGCUAACUACGUG
rnacentral:rRNA from 1 species